GAAAAACUACCAAAGAAUGAUUACAACAACCUUGUUGCAAUGAAGUAAGUGACUGUGUUGUGGUAAAAACACGGACACAAAUCCAUUGCUCUACGAUGGAUCUGUGUGCAGAGACAGAGGAUGAGGUCCCUCCUUUUAAAUUAUCUGAGGAACAUGACAGCCACAACAAAGCUGAGAGCUCAUUCCAGCAGGAGAAACCAGACUCCCCUGGAGCCAGCUGUGUAUCAGUGAAAGACAACAGCUCCAUUGCUGAACCUCUUGCCUUUGAAGACAGAGAUCU